rnacentral:misc_RNA from 1 species
GGAAGGAUCAUUCGCACGAACAAUCCAACUUUACUGUGAAUUUCCUUUGCGAGUGUCUGGGUGGGAUGCCCUCAGCUUAUGCUGCUGUCCCCAUGCAGAACUCAAGGGUGGCAAAGCAAGUUUGGUCGCACGUCUUCCUGCUUGUUCCUGCUGCCGUGUGUUUGUAUCAUAACGUUUGUUUAUCAGCCCGUUCUAUUUGCACUCGAUGUUUUGUAUAUUUACAACUUUCAGCGACGGAUGUCUCGGCUCAAGCAACGAUGAAGGGCGCAGCGAAGUGUGAUAAACAUUGUGAAUUGCAGAAUUCCGUGAACCAAUAGAACUUUGAACGCAUCUUGCGUUGCCAGGAUAUCCCUGACAGCAUGCCUGCUUCAGUGUCUGUUAUCUUCUCAUGCGUGGAGCUUCCUGCUUUCACGUGUAUUUGUGUGCCAGUGACCUCUUGUUUGGUGGCGCAUUGACACAUUGAGAUUAGAGUGUCGCGACAGCUUUGGCGGUUUGAAAAGGAGUCUGCUUCUGCCCUAGUGGCUGAGGUUGUCAUUGUUGACACAACAGUUUGUGCAAUCAUUGUGGUUGCCACCUUUGACAUGAAGUUAGGUCAGCAAACCCGCUGAAUUUAAGCAUAUAAGUAAGCGGAGGAAAAGAAACUAAAUAGGAUUCCCUUAGUAAUGGCGAAUGAACAGGGACAAGCUCGGCAUGGAAAUUGGGGCCUCUGGCCUUGAAUUGUAGCCUCGAGAAGUAUUUCCAACAGAGGCGCAGAUGUAAGCCUCUUGGAAAAGAGCAUCAUUGUGGGUGAGAAUCCUGUGUGUCAUCUGCAGCCCUUUGUGUACGGUAUGCUUUCUCAGAGUCACGUUCCUCGGAAUUGGAGCGCAAAGUGGGUGGUAAAUUUCAUCUAAAGCUAAAUAAUAGCUUGAGACCGAUAGCAAACAAGUACCAUGAGGGAAAGGUGAAAAGGACUUUGAAAAGAGAGUUAAAAGUGCCUGAAAUUGCUGAAAGGGAAGCGAAUGGAACCAGUCAUCUUGGCAAGACUGCUUCAUGUCAGUGUGAUUGCUUGCGGUCGCAACGCAAGUGCGACAGCUGGUUUAGAGCAUGACUUGUGGAGUGUUUCUUGCCUGGUGUGUCAGCAUCUGUCCAUGCUUGACGAAGACUCCAAGGACAUGGUAGCUUGCCUGUGGGUGGGUGAAUGUGCUUGGUAGGACCCAAGUUUGGAUUGAGAGCAGCAUAUUUUGAGCUGCAUGCUUUGCGCUUGGCGUUUGGCACCUCCUGAUUUGCAAUGCUGACUAAAUGGUUCUCUUCGACCCGUCUUGAAACACGGACCAAGGAGUCUAACAUAUGUGCAAGUUCACGGGUGGUAAGCCUGCUUGCGAAAUGAAAGUGACUGCUGGGAUUCUUGCACCAGCAACCGACCAAUCAAUUGAGAGAAGUUUGAGUAUGAGCACAUGUGUUAGGACCCGAAAGAUGGUGAACUAUGCCUGCGUAGGGUGAAGUCUGAAGAAAUUCAGAUGGAGGCUCGUAGCGGUACUGACGUGCAAAUCGUUCGUCAAACGUGGGUAUAGGGGCGAAAGACUAAUCGAACCAUCUAGUAGCUGGUUCCCUC